rnacentral:rRNA from 1 species
GAUGAACGCUAGCGGGAGGCUUAACACAUGCAAGUCGAGGGGUACCCCGGGCAACCGGGGGAGACCGGCGCACGGGUGCGUAACGCGUAUGCAACCUUCCCACUGCAGGGGGACAGCCUCCGGAAACGGGGAUUAAUACCCCAUAAGCCCCCGGGCCCGCAUGGGCCUGGGGGGGAAGCUGAGGCGGCAGUGGAUGGGCAGGCGUCCGAUUAGCGGGUUGGCGGGGCAACGGCCCGCCAAGGCGACGAUCGGUAGGGGCCCUGAGAGGGGGGCCCCCCACACUGGUACUGAGACCCGGACCAGGAUCCUACGGGAGGCAGCAGUGAGGAAUAUUGGGCAAUGGGCGCAAGCCUGACCCAGCCAUCCCGCGUGCAGGACGAAGGCCUUAUGGGUUGUAAACUGCUUUUCUGCGGGGAGAAGCCCCCGGCCGGGCGCCGGGGUUGACGGUACCGCAGGAAUAAGCAUCGGCUAACUCCGUGCCAGCAGCCGCGGUAAUAC